AAGACCUAUAUGAGAAAAGCAACCUUGAAUACAAUAACGAGAGAGUUUAUUAGCACGCCGUUCGUGGUUAACGCCGUAUCGUUCACGAUAAUUACCCUAGGGUUAUCUGCGUUUCUUUUGUUGUCAGUGGAUAUUGCCAAGGACAAAGGAAUUGCACCAUCCAGUGGCGUUUUUUUACUAAACGCUUUUGCAGUGACGGACAUUGUGAUGAGACCACUAAGCGGCCUUUUAAUCGACUCUGGUGUUUUGUUACUGGAAAGCGUCAUGCUAGUGGGAUACCUUCUUCAAUCUCUCGUGCUAGAGCUGUUCGUGUUGCUGGACUCUUUCCCGGUCAUGCUGGCUUUGUCCGCGUUAUUCGGAAUCAGUAACGGAUUGAGAAUUACCCUGCUCAUGCCUUCUCUCACGAAACACUUUGGAGUUGACCGAAUGCCCUUAGUGCUCGGUGGAGUCGGCUUCUGGAUUGGUGUCACACUCAUUACGGGACCAUUUUUGGUUGGUUACUGGCGAGAUCGUUUGGGAUCAUACGAUGGCCUUCUUCAUUUCAUGGCAGCACUGAAUGCUGCACUAGCCAUUAUCUGGGCUGCAAAGCUUUGUUUACAAAGACGACAAAAGCCACUUCUAUAGCAUAAAUAAAUGUAGUCUACACAAAA